rnacentral:rRNA from 1 species
UCCGGUUGAUCCCGCCGGACCCUACUGCUAUCGGGAUGAGACUAANCCAUGCAAGUUGUGCGCUUCUUAGCUAUGUUGGAAGCGCGGCAUACGGCUCCGUAACACGUAGUUAACCUACCCUUAGGACGGGGAUAACCCCGGGAAACUGGGGCUAAUACCCGAUAGGUGAAAACUCUUGGAAUAGUUUUUCGCUGAAAAGAUAUCGAGAACAUGCUCUCGCCGUUGCCUAAGGAUGGGACUGCGGCCGAUCAGGUUGUUGGUAGGGUAAUGGCCUACCAAGCCUAUAACCGGUACGGGCCCUGAGAGGGGGAGCCCGGAGAUGGGAACUGAGACAAGGUCCCAGGCCCUACGGGGCGCAGCAGGCGCGAAACCUCCACAAUGCACGCAAGNGNGAUGGGGUCAUCCCGAGUGCUGUCCGUUGAGGAUGGCUUUUCCUCGGUGUAACAAGCCGAGGGUAAUAAGAGGGGGGCAAGACUGGUGUCNGCCGCCGCGGUANNNCCAGCUCCUCGAGUGGUGGGGACGAUUAUUUAGCCUAAAGCGUUCGUAGCUGGCUUGGUNNNUCCCUCGUGAAAUCCGACGAUUCAAUCGUCGGGCGU